GUGCUUGCAUUUGAAAGAUUUAGCAUUGAGACGAGUGGCGAACUGGUGAGUAACACGUGGGUAACCUGCCCUUGAAGUAGGGGAUAACACUUGGAAACAGGUGCUAAUACCGGAUAACAACCAAAACCACCUGGUUUUGGUUUAAAAGACGGCUUCGGCUGUCACUUUAGGAUGGACCCGCGGCGUAUUAGCUUGUUGGUAAGGUAACGGCCUACCAAGGCGAUGAUACGUAGCCGACCUGAGAGGGUAAUCGGCCACAUUGGGACUGAGACACGGCCCAAACUCCUACGGGAGGCAGCAGUAGGGAAUCUUCCACAAUGGACGAAAGUCUGAUGGAGCAACGCCGCGUGAGUGAUGAAGGGUUUCGGCUCGUAAAACUCUGUUGUUGGAGAAGAACAGGUGUCAGAGUAACUGUUGACAUCUUGACGGUAUCCAACCAGAAAGCCACGGCUAACUACGUGCCAGCAGCCGCGGUAAUACGUAGGUGGCAAGCGUUGUCCGGAUUUAUUGGGCGUAAAGCGAGCGCAGGCGGUUUUUUAGGUCUGAUGUGAAAGCCUUCGGCUUAACCGGAGAAGUGCAUCGGAAACCGGGAGACUUGAGUGCAGAAGAGGACAGUGGAACUCCAUGUGUAGCGGUGAAAUGCGUAGAUAUAUGGAAGAACACCAGUGGCGAAGGC
rnacentral:rRNA from 1 species